GUCAGUGUAGCGCAGUGGUUUGAGCACUGGCCUAUGACUCUGGAGACCAGGAUUCAAAUUCUGGCUCAGCCA